rnacentral:lncRNA from 1 species
GGGAGAGCCACCCCCAGUGUCUCCUGGUUCUGGGGAUCCCCGUGAGACCCCCCGGGGACCACCCUGCGCGAGGGAGGCGGUGGUGGUGGCGGUGGGCGGAGGCGGUGGGAGGACACCGAGGACGGUCGGUGAGGUGAGCGUUUCUGGGGGUGGUGCAGAGGCUCGAUGGUGGACGGUGUGCCAGCCGGUGCCACACUGCACCUCUCUGCCCUCAUCUUUUCGAAUCGGGGGCCCUAACCCCUGUCUUUCACGGGGUGCUGCCGGGUCAAGGCAUUCAUCCUCUAGCUGAAGGAGAGGACUAGGGUGAGGAGCUGCUGCCACCCGGGCUG